UGGUUUUGAGUACUUAAGAAAAAAUGCUGAUCAACACCCUCCCUGAACUGGUGUUAAACAUCAGCUUCACGGCAAAUGACCAAUGGCCCCAAAACAAUGCCCUCUCGGAUGGAUAAAGCUUGUGGAUAUUUGAGUUCUGUAUGGGACAUAUGGAAUAUUUCUAGUGAAGAAAGACUUCAUGUGUUGAAGGAAGGAUCCAUUGAGUGCAUUAUUCAAGUGAUCAGUGACUGCUCCUCAGAGUCUAAAAUCAUCAUGGAUCUGCCUGUUUUUCACAAGGGCAUACUUACAGGGAACUAGUAUAACAAAUGUUAUUUCCUAUCUGAUUUCUCAAUAUUUGGCUGCAUAAACUAGCCUUUUCAUCUCUAUAAUAAAGUUCCUAUUUAAAAGAAAAAGAGGGAAAUUCUUACAAUGCAGAAGUACUGAGACAAAUCAACAGAAAGACUAGAGCAGUAUUUAUAGGUGUGCCUCAAGAACUCCAGGCCU